UACGGGGGGAGCAAGCGUUGCUCGGAUUUACUGGGCGUAAAGGGCGCGUAGGCGGCGCAACAAGUCACUUGUGAAAUCUCCGGGCUUAACUCGGAAAGGUCAAGUGAUACUGUUGUGCUAGAGUGCGGAAGGGGCAACUGGAAUUCUCGGUGUAGCGGUGAAAUGCGUAGAUAUCGAGAGGAACACCUGCGGCGAAGGCGGGUUGCUGGGCCGACACUGACGCUGAUGCGCGAAAGCCAGGGGAGCGAACGGG
rnacentral:rRNA from 1 species